GAUGAACGCUGGCGGCGUGCUUAACACAUGCAAGUCGAACGGUAAGGCUCCAGCUUGCUGGGGUUUAAGAGUGGCGAACGGGUGAGUAACACGUGAGUGACCUGCCCUGCACUUCGGGAUAACCGUGAGAAACUGCGAAUAAUACCGGAUAGGACCAUGGUGUGGAUACUGUGGUGGAAAGCUUAUUCGGUGUGGGAUGGGUAUGUGGCAUAUCAGCUUGUUGGUGGUGUAAUGGCCUACCAAGGAGGCGACGGGUAGCCGGCCUGAGAGGGUGGACGGGCACAUUGGGCCUGAGACACGGCCCAGACUCCUACGGGAGGCAGCAGGGGGGAAUAUUGCACAAUGGGCGGAAGCCUGAUGCGGCGACGCCGCGUGGGGGAUGACGGCCUUCGUGUUGUAAACGGCUUUCACCAACGACGAAGCGGUUCUGACGGUAGAUGCAGAAGAAGCACCGGCUAACUACGUG
rnacentral:rRNA from 1 species